ensembl:lncRNA
UGGUCGAAAACCCGCCCCUUCCUUUCGUUGCUACGGACUACAGAGUGUGACGUUGGGCUACCGAGACUGUGUGCAGGUGUGAUGUGCUGCUCGCUCUCAGUGCGGUGUGUCGUCAAGGCUCCCAUCUGUGUAGCAUGGUAGUUUAACGCAGGCCCGGUCGGAGCGCCAGCUGUUGACGUCACAACUAUUAAAGAAGCUAUCGUGAUUUUCGUAUGUGCCAUCGUGAGUACUAUGUCAUCGGAUCACGGGUCCUCGAUUUUGCAUACGUUAAGGCGGGCUGAGUGAGAUGUGGUCGUUUCGGAGCUGAGUGCUUCCUGAGGCUGGGGGGAGUUCUAUGCUGUACCUUAGGCUUUACUUAAUUAAGGGUUGUUAUUAUUGUCGUUAAGCCUUUCUCAAGGGUUCAGAAGUGGAAUUUGAACUCACAACGCUCCACUGUCUUUACUGAAAAUAAAUUUCUCA